CCCCAUAGUCUGGGAUACCACUUGGAAACAGGUGCUAAUACCGGAUAAGAAAGCAGAUCGCAUGAUCAGCUUUUAAAAGGCGGCGUAAGCUGUCGCUAUGGGAUGGCCCCGCGGUGCAUUAGCUAGUUGGUAAGGUAAAGGCUUACCAAGGCGAUGAUGCAUAGCCGAGUUGAGAGACUGAUCGGCCACAUUGGGACUGAGACACGGCCCAAACUCCUACGGGAGGCAGCAGUAGGGAAUCUUCCACAAUGGACGCAAGUCUGAUGGAGCAACGCCGCGUGAGUGAAGAAGGUUUUCGGAUCGUAAAGCUCUGUUGUUGGUGAAGAAGGAUAGAGGUAGUAACUGGCCUUUAUUUGACGGUAAUCAACCAGAAAGUCACGGCUAACUACGUGCCAGCAGCCGCGGUAAUACGUAGGUGGCAAGCGUUGUCCGGAUUUAUUGGGCGUAAAGCGAGCGCAGGCGGAAGAAUAAGUCUGAUGUGAAAGCCCUCGGCUUAACCGAAGGAACUGCAUCGGAAACUGUUUUUCUUGAGUGCAGAAGAGGAGAGUGGAACUCCCAUGUGUAGCGGGUGGAAUGCGUAGAUAUAUGGAAGAACACCAGUGGCGAAGGCGGCUCUCUGGUCUGCACUGACGCUGAGGCUCGAAAGCAUGGGUAGCGAACCAGGAUUAGAUACCCUGGUAAGUCCAUGCC
rnacentral:rRNA from 1 species